rnacentral:rRNA from 1 species
GGCAGGCUAAUACAUGCAAGCCGAACGGCAAGUUUUGUAGCAAUACAAGACCUAGAGUGGCGUAAGGGUGCGUAACACGUAUGCAAUCUGCCCUGUACAGGGGGAUAGCUCGGGGAAACUCGAAUUAACACUCCAUAAUAUCACGAGGAGGCAUCUUUUUGUGAUUAAAACUGAGGUGGUACAGGAUGAGCAUGCGCAUGAUUAGCUAGUUGGCGGGGUAACGGCCCACCAAGGCGAUGAUCAUUAGGGGAACUGAGAGGUUGAUCCCCCACACUGGCACUGAGAUACGGGCCAGACUCCUACGGGAGGCAGCAGUAGGGAAUAUUGGACAAUGGGUGCGAGCCUGAUCCAGCCAUGCCGCGUGCAGGAAGAAGGCUUUCUGAGUUGUAAACUGCUUUUGCCAGAGGAUAAAAAGCCCAUGCGUGGGAAAUUGAAGGUACCUGGUGAAUAAGCCACGGCUAACUACGUGCCAGCAGCCGCGGUAAUACGUAGGUGGCAAGCGUUGUCCGGAUUUAUUGGGGUUUAAAGGGUGC